GCUGAGAUGUCCGAGCGGUCUAAGGAGCUGGAUUCAAGUGGCCAUCAAAUUACUUGCGCGAUAAACGUGUGCAUCCCAGUAGCGCAAGCUGCGGGGGUUCGAAUCCCCCUCUCAGCA
rfam:Puccinia triticina 1-1 BBBD Race 1 supercont2.126, whole genome shotgun sequence.